rnacentral:rRNA from 1 species
AUUGAACGCUGGCGGCAGGCUUAACACAUGCAAGUCGAGCGGGGUGAUGGUGCUUGCACUAUCACUCAGCGGCGGACGGGUGAGUAAUGCUUAGGAAUCUGCCUAUUAGUGGGGGACAACAUCUCGAAAGGGAUGCUAAUACCGCAUACGUCCUACGGGAGAAAGCAGGGGAUCACUUGUGACCUUGCGCUAAUAGAUGAGCCUAAGUCGGAUUAGCUAGUUGGUGGGGUAAAGGCCUACCAAGGCGACGAUCUGUAGCGGGUCUGAGAGGAUGAUCCGCCACACUGGGACUGAGACACGGCCCAGACUCCUCCGGGAGGCAGCAGUGGGGAAUAUUGGACAAUGGGGGGAACCCUGAUCCAGCCAUGCCGCGUGUGUGAAGAGGGCCUUAUGGUUGUAAAGCACUUUAAGCGAGGAGGAGGCUCUUUUGGUUAAUACCCAAGAUGAGUGGACGUUACUCGCAGAAUAAGCACCGGCUAACUCUGUGCCAGCCGCCGCGGUAA